CGGGGCUCAACGCCUUGUAAUUGGAAUGAUGGGAACCUAAACCCCUUCCAGAGUAUCAAUUGGAGGGCAAGUCUGGUGCCAGCAGCCGCGGUAAUUCCAGCUCCAAUAGCGUAUAUUAAAAUUGUUGCAGUUAAAAAGCUCGUAGUUGAAUUUCUGCCGCAUCGCCGCGGCCCUCCCGGGCCCAGCGUUGCGGCUUAUUUCGGACUCGCUUGCGUCUCCGAAUGUUUACUUUGAGAAAAUUAGAGUGCUCAAAGCAGGCCCUUGCCUUGAAUACUUUAGCAUGGAAUAAUAAAGUAGGACUUUGGUUCUAUUUUGUUGGUUUAGCGCCAAAGUAAUGGUUAAUAGGAACAGUUGGGGGCAUUCGUAUUUAACUGUCAGAGGUGAAAUUCUUAGAUUUGUUAAAGACGAACCACUGCGAAAGCAUUUGCCAAGGAUGUUUUCAUUAAUCAAGAA
rnacentral:rRNA from 1 species